GGCGGACGGGUGACGUAAUGCUUAGGAAUCUGCCUAUUAGUGGGGGACAACAUUCCGAAAGGGAUGCUAAUACCGCAUACGUCCUACGGGAGAAAGCAGGGGCUCUUUAUGACCUUGCGCUAAUAGAUGAGCCUAAGUCGGAUUAGCUAGUUGGUGGGGUAAAGGCCUACCAAGGCGACGAUCUGUAGCGGGUCUGAGAGGAUGAUCCGCCACACUGGGACUGAGACACGGCCCAGACUCCUACGGGAGGCAGCAGUGGGGAAUAUUGGACAAUGGGGGGAACCCUGAUCCAGCCAUGCCGCGUGUGUGAAGAAGGCCUUUUGGUUGUAAAGCACUUUAAGUGGGGAGGAGGCUUACCUGGUUAAUACCUGGGCUAAGUGGACGUUACCCACAGAAUAAGCACCGGCUAACUCUGUGCCAGCAGCCGCGGUAAUACAGAGGGUGCGAGCGUUAAUCGGAUUUACUGGGCGUAAAGCGCGCGUAGGUGGUUAAUUAAGUCAAAAUGUGAAAUCCCCGAGCUUAACUUGGGGAAUUGCAUUCGAUACUGGUUAGCUAGAGUAUGGG
rnacentral:rRNA from 1 species